CUUACACCAAUCAGGAACCCCCUGGAACUGGAGAUGGGCUCAUCUGCCCCCGGAGUCCAUGAGUGGUGUCAGCAAAGGUGGAUUCCUAGAUUGAAAUGAGCUCUGUCUACUAAAUGAGAGAUGUUGCAUGAAAAUGAACAACCUUUCCAAUGAGGGAGAUAAAACAAGCUCUGGGGGCACCUGGAUGGCUCAGUCAGUAUGUAAUAUAAAAAUAUCAUCACCAUGUAACUAGCAGUGACAUUCAAAUUGAGGACUAGCAAUUGGGAAGAGACACGUGAAUGUGAAGGAAGCAGUAACAAAAAAUAUGAUGAUCUCCUGAAGAGUCUCACAUUACCAAGCUGAUCUCCAUCUCAGAAGCUGCUUCCAGGGAGCGCAACCUGUGUCACUAGCACUUAUAGAAUGUUCAGAACAGAUCGAGGGCCAAGAAGUCUCCCCAAGACCCAGUGUAUUCACUGACUUUGGACUUUGCACAGGGUUCUAGAUACAAACUACUAAUAAUAGCCAACAUUUACCAAGUACUUAUUACCAAGCCAAAAAUUUAUACAUGUUAAUUCAUUUCAUCUUUACAAUUUCAUUUUACAGAUGAGGAAACCAAGGCACAGAAAGUUAAGAAGCUUGAUUAAGAUCAUAUAGCUGGUAUGUUAGAGGUGCUAAGUGAUAAAUACAGUCUUUGAUGUAGACAACCCCUCACUGUAAUUCUCCUCAUGCGCAUGGGUUUGGUAAAUGUUUGUUUUCCUGUGUUGGUGAAUGUAGAUACCCACAUUCUCUUGGUGGAACCAGAUAUUUAGAAGAAAACUAUACAUACUUUUUAUUAAUAGAUUUUUUUUUCUUUUUGUGUUCUAUUUAUGUGAAUACCAACAUUUCUUUGCAUUAAUCAGAUACACCAUCUAGAAGGGGUAAGACAGACCCAGAACUAAACAUCUGUUGGAAUAACUCCUAGAAGAAGUACUCAAGUAGAUCCUCAAGGGUCAAAUAUGUGGGUAUAUUAAAAUUAUUCUUAACCAUUU